AUCGAGGCUAGAGUCACGCUUGGGUACAGCUAUUGCCUUAGUGUGCCAGCAUCCUUGAAGAACAACUGCUAACCUUAUUCACUGGCUCCAGGCCCCUAUGGCGUGAUCAGGCACCAGGUCAGUGACAUGC